ACUGUUAUGACAUGUGGAGCAAAGGCUGUGUCUAAACUGCUGAAACCCGCUGACAUGAAGAAUGAUAGAUAACGUUAGUAGAAAUGCAGCUGCCUAGUGUUAAGACCUUGGCUGUGCACAAUGAAAGCUCAAGGUUUUGACCUCUUGUAGCCAGUAACCUGCCUGUAACUGGCCUCUGCGUGGUUUGGGAACUAAGAUAAAGGGACAACAGUCUGCUUGUCAACAUUAAGCGACCUUAUCGUGAUUUUACACCUGCCCGUCAGGGAAGGAAUCUGCUGUCACUGACUGGAGGUUCACCUGUGUCAAGUCCAUCAUACCUGCACGCUUAUUUCUGCUAUUUAUGAUCUGAUUCCAUGGAUACUCUUCAAAGAAACAGAAAAUCCUUCUUUGAUGCAUCUUGUAACACCAUGGAGGAAAAACAAGGUUGUUUUCUACAGCUGGCCAGCCACUCGCCCGUUGGACAGUAUCCCAGUGAGAAGAUCUGCAGUGAAACCAUCAGUUAUGGUAGAU